GCAGGAUGAAGGCCUUCGGGUUGUAAACUGCUUUUGUACGGAACGAAAAGGUCCUUUCUAAUACAAGGGGCCCAUGACGGUACCGUAAGAAUAAGCACCGGCUAACUACGUGCCAGCAGCCGCGGUAAUACGUAGGGUGCGAGCGUUAAUCGGAANUACUGGGCGUAAAGCGUGCGCAGGCGGUUAUAUAAGACAGUUGUGAAAUCCCCGGGCUCAACCUGGGAACUGCAUCUGUGACUGUAUAGCUAGAGUACGGUAGAGGGGGAUGGAAUUCCGCGUGUAGCAGUGAAAUGCGUAGAUAUGCGGAGGANCACCNAUGNCGAAAAGGCAAUCCCUGGACCUGUACUNGACGCUCAUGCACGAAAGCGUGGGGAGCAAACAGGAUUAGAUACCCUGGUAGUCCAAGGGCGAAUUC
rnacentral:rRNA from 1 species